GUUGACACUUUGGCAUGUGGGUUGCCUCAAUUUCUUUUAGCCCAACCAAACUUAUUAGAUCUAUACAUAUAGACAAUGCAGUAUGGACCUUUCUCUAUGCGGAACAUAAAACAGGAGGCUUUGCCCAAUGCUAUAUCCGGGUCUGAAUCAUUGAGUUGGACUGCUCUUCAUGAAGCUGUUGCGGCGGGGGAUGACCAAAGAGUGGAAAUAUUGAUAUCCAGAAAAGCAGAUCGCCUAGCCAAGGAUUCAAAUCAAGGAAACACACCAUUGCAUGAGGCAGCCAGUCGGGGAUACAGUCGUUGCGUCAAAUUGAUGUGCACUGCGCCUUCCGCGAAGACACAACAUAAGGACAAGAGCAAGAUUAAAGCAAGGGCGUCAAACACUAUCGAAGCAUUACACAAUAGCACCCUUAGUAUAUCAAAUAACGAGGGUCUUGCGGCGCUACACUUAGCCGCCCAGAAUGGUCAUAAUCAGAGUUCUAGAGAGCUUUUACUGGCCGGAGCGGAUCCUGACGUUCAAAACAAGUAUGGUGAUACAGCGUUACAUACCGCCUGUCGCUAUGGUCAUGCAGGGGUUACUCGAAUUUUGCUUUCGGGCUUAUGUGACCCCAACAAGACAAACCUUAAUGGCGAUACAGCUCUCCAUAUUACAUGCGCCAUGGGUCGGCGAAAGCUAACACGAAUAUUACUUGAGUCUAAUGCUCGAUUAAAUCUAAGAAACGCUCAAGGAGACACCCCUUUAAAUAUCGCAAUAAGAAAGAACUAUCGCGAAAUAAUUGAAAUUUUAAAUACGCCAAAACGAAUACGCAAUCGUACAGAAAUAACAAGUAAACAUGGAAAGCAGGAACCAUCAGAUAAAGAAAAAAAAAAUGAUAUCAGGAAAGAUACUGCGGAUAAGCCGAUUAAUUGGUCACCAUAUGGUUGUCACUACUUUCCCGAUCCUCGCUCGUUUCCAUCACCAAAGCUUGAGACUUUACCUAAAGAACCUUUAAAACAAGGAGAACAAUAUUUUCUUGACCUUGCCGGUAACAUACACAAGGGACCCGUCAGUCUCGGCAACACUUGCUACUGUGGACCCUUUUUUCGUCACAUUGAGAGCAAGCUAAAUUUGAAUCGAAAAAGCCUUAAGAAAUAUGUACACAAAACAAAAGAGAGACUCGGUCACAAAGUUCAAGCAUUGGCAAUUAAGACCAAUGAUCAAAUUGAACAACUUACUCGCUCUAUGAUCGAGGAUCGUAUUCGUUGUGAAAGUAGACGUUAUUAUUUAAACGAAUAUUUAUGUCGUGGGGGGGCUUUACGAUCAACCUUAGAUAAUCAAAUCAAAAAUCCUAGGAUCGAGCAAACGUUGUCCCGUUGUCGAAGCUUAGAUUUAAUUGACUGCAAUCUAGAUAGUGGUACCAUGCCAACUUCAAGGAGUGUAGAUAUUCUAGAAAAAGACAAUCAAUUUGAUAUUGCUGACAUUAAGAAACCGCAUAUACAUUUUAUAGAUAGUGGUGAUGAAAUUGGCUCAAGAAAUAUUUCAACUUCCAAUUCAGAUUGCAGUGUUGGCAUGCCAGUACCAUUGCUCGAUAAUUGCGUUCAUAGUCUUUCUCAGCUAGCAGCCGUAGCAUCUCAAGGUGAACUAAGACAAUCUAAAUUAGAAGAACUAAAAAUUGAUUUUCUUAAGGUAUCAGAGCGACUUGGAAAUCUAUUGGAUAAAACUACUUUAAUAAUGAAAAAAGAUAAUGAGCAAGAGCGCAGACAUCCAUCAAACUUUAUUUUACCAACUAACAUAUCUAUAAAUAGCCCGACAGGUCAUUUCAAUUUGUUGGAAGCCAGGGAUUGUGCGGACGCCCUAAAAUAUGACUAUUAUAAAAAUACACGUCGGCGAUAUCCUUACUCUAGUAAGACCUCACAGCCCUCACAAUAUUUGAAGAGUUCCGAGUUUGAUAUAGUUUCUGGACAUUCUGAAAAGUAUAAGAAUUGUAUUGGCGAGAGAGGUGAUAUUACCUUGAAAACCGUGAUAAAGGCACUUCGCAAGGAUGCUUCAUUUACAGAUAUUAGUAAGGAUGAUAGUUCUUUAAAUGAAAACGCAGGCAUGAUUUGUGGUGAUAAGCUAUUGUAUAAAGAUCAAUCUUCCAAAGACUUCCCUCCAACCUUUUGCAGAGAAACUGUUGGUUCUUCUAGCCAACAAUUGCGUGUUAGCUGCCCCAAGAACCUUUCAAAUAUCUUGAAACGUCAACCACUUUGUUUAGAGGAGAGUUUUACAGAAAACCCACGAUUACUUGUCCCAAGCCCCAUGGCCGCUGACAUCCCAGAAAGCAACAAUGAAUUACAGAUUAGAACCCAAGGCUCUCAGAAUACACUCAGCAAAGUGGAAAUUCGAAAUAGCGAGAUAAAAUCGUUAAAGCAUUCAAAAAGUCGACAAGUUCUGGAUCUCGUUGUACAGGGGGAGAGUGAAGUAGAUAGCAAUUACCAAAACUUGCGCAAGGUUUGUCGUAAUGGUAUCGCUGAUCCAGUCCAAAUUGAACCAAAUUAUUCAUAUUUCCAUGCCUUUGAACUGGGAAAAGUACCUAAGGAUGCAUACUUUCACGAGCUACCAACCCGCUCUCAAAAUGUGCAAAAAACAAGUGUCAUUUACCCAAGCGAUGUACAAAACAUAUGUGUACCACGAGGCUACAGUUACGAUGUCAAAGAUGAAGAUAUAGCUUUACAUACGCCCUCAACACUGCAUCAGCAGAAGAAUAUAAUUAUACCCACGUCGAAAGCUGCCAUUAAUCGCGCGACUAACUUUCGACUAGCUCACACUUCAAAUUUUUAUGGAAGCGUAGCAUCUAAAUCAACACAAGAGCUGGCUUCUAGACAUCGGACUGCACAUGAUGUUUUGAGUGAUGAAAUCGAUGCAGAUGAAAUGGCUGCUGUCGGUAUUUAUAAUAAUGUUUCCAGUUUAGUGUAAAGUACUCAAGUUAGGCAAAUUAUAGGUUGAUUGCGUUGAAUGUAAGUUUGUUACCUUCAGAACAAUAUUCAUUUGUAAAUAGGUUAACAGCUUGAUUUCAAUUUGGACGAAAACUUUAGAACAAUUUUAAAAACAAAUUUUUUGCUUGGCUUUUUGUGCAAAAUGCCUUAUUAACAUUAAAAAUCAAUUUCAAUUUUGGUUUAGUUGUUCGGAAAUGUCUGCAUAGUAGACAAGUGUGUAUCAUCGCAUAGAUGUUUAACUAUAUAACGGUAUUAUUGAGUAAUUACAUAUUUCUUAAAAAAUAUAUUUUUGCUUUCUGUAAAUAUAAGAAUGCUGAGUAAAGCAAGAAA